rnacentral:lncRNA from 1 species
ACAGACAAACAGGUACUGGCAAGAUAGACUAUGCUGAUGGAGUAACCAAGUUUGUGAGUAUAUGAAAAUAACGAGGGAUGACAUAUGGGAAUAUUACACAAUGAUAAAGUUGGAAUGUCACAAUGAAUAAACAAAAUCUGAUUCAGAGACUAUGCCAAGCCAGGUGAUAAGAUCUUGAAGAACCAAGAUCCAGAGAGAAGUGAAAGGAAUCAGUGUUCCAUGGAACGGAAGUGCAUCAGGAAAGGAAAGAGAAAACAGAUUCAGACUAAAGCACGUGCCUGACAAUGUGUCUGCUGCAUUGCAUGAGGCAGCCUUGCUGCAGCCAACCAUAGUGGGGUCCAAUUAAGAGGCUUAAUUGAAGAAUUCCAAGUUAGCAGACUGUCCUGGCACUCAGAGGAUAUUGUGCCUGGUAAUGAUAGUGUUGAAUUGGACAGAAAGAAUAUUCACAAAGGUGGCUGUCCAUAUCCAUGGGUUCUGUAUCCAUAGAUGCAGAAUUCUUGAAUACAGAGGGUUGACUGGGAGAUCUGACAUCUGCAGGUUUUGGUAUCCGUGGAAGGUUCUGCAACCAAUCUCUGGUGGAUGUGAGAGGUGAUUGUACUUAAGCUUCAAGAAAGGCCUCCUCUGCUAAAAAUGCUCUCUGAUUAGCCAUUCACUGCUUCCUGAACUAUGAAGACAUCUUCUAGGAAUACUCAGGAUCUUCUGCUAUGUGGCUUUAAUUUAUUUUAAGAUUAAUUCCUCAUUACCUUCUUACACAAAGCCACCAUUAGCAUAUCAAGCACAGCUGUACAAAUUUUUAAAAGGCCAAAAGAUGUAUCUGCCAAUUCUAGGAGGAUAUAAACCUGAAGGCACAAAUCUGGGCUGGAGCACAUGGUUUCCCUUGUGAGAAGAAAAAGUCUCCUUCCUCUGAAUGGACACACCUUGCACACCAGGGCACAAGGUUUGUCUAGAAGAGCACAGCUGAACAUCAUAAAGUGCAGAACCACACACCUGGCAUCCUUGUCCCUACACAAGAGAAGCCAGAAGUUGCAGCUCAAUGCACCAUGAAGCUGAGACAGAAAUGGAGAUCCCCCAGCCCCACCUCUCUGGAACAGGAAAGAUGAAUGAGGAAGAAACACAGGGCAGUAUGGGGAAGAGGGUCAUGGCGGACAUGGGGGUAGUGGGCUGGUCUCCCCACCUUCUCAUAUUAUGCUAACAGGGACAAAGACACAUUCAGACUCCUUUAAAUAGCCUUUUCCCAUUCUGUUUCAAGAUGGGUGACAAGAGACAUCAGACACCCACCCUCCCCGGUAAAAGAAGCAAAAUUAUAAAUGCAUAAUCAUAUCUCUAAUAGAACAUCUAGGAUGGAACACUAGAGACCAAUGACAAAGUCAUGGAAAACACCCAAGACACAGAAGGAGAAAAAAAGCAAGGGGCCAGCUUGGCUGAGAUUGGCUGGGAGCCUGAAGGGGCUUGGUAUUGUGUGAAAAGCCUCAGUGAAGGAGUUUCAGUGGUUCACAUACCCAGUAUGGACUUCUGCAAUCUGAACCAUGGGAAAACUCCUUUAACCUAAUGAACUGUGACACUAGCAUGGGUGGUGACUUGGAGACCACACAAGGCCAUAGCAUCAGAGAACUUAUACAGGGUUACUCAACCCCUUGCCAAGACCUGAGUGCUGUGGCAAGGCACCACUUGGGGAGCACAGCCAUCACAGGACUACAUCCAGCCCCCUUAUCUCCACAUCCUAGAAGAUCCUGCUGACAUUUCCCAGUGUCCACCUGGAGGACUAUAGUGGCAUUGCACUGGCUAGACCCAAAGAUGUUGCAUGUCCCCAGGACUCUAGCUCACAGGGAUUACUACCCACUGUUGAAAGGACAGUGCAACACACAAAAAAAUGGUAGCCCAUGGGACAAGGGAAACCAAAGUAUGUGCUUCCCAGAGUCUGAGAGGUCUCUGUCUGGGACUAUGAGAAGUUACUCUGCCCUCAACAGUUGCACAAACUCUGUGCCCAGUUUUAUAAGCAGAGAGUAAAUUCUCCUACCACUGGCAGAGCAGCCUCUGCACUAAGGCUCAGAAGUAGAGAAGUAGAGACUAGGACUUCUCCGCCUCAAAACACCCAACUAGUGUCUCUGCCAGAUGCUUUAGCAAGUGAGCUGGAGGGCUGCCUAUUUGGGGUGCCACAGAGAGCAGGAGCUCUGUGUCCUGCAGCAUGUCUGGAGUUGUGGGCAGUAACCCCACACUGCAGCCACCACUUAAAUCAGCCUGCAUCACUUGGGUCCAAGAGGGUCAUACCACCACUAGCACUGCUGUAACCCACACCAUGCUGGCUGCCCAGGGACCUGAGCACCAGCCCACCCACUUGGCCCACCACCGCCAUGACUAGAAUUCAUGCAAGCCACCUGGAAUCAGCCCACUGGUAACCACCAACACAAGUUCUCCUGUGCACUGCCUUUGGGCACAAAGAUAGGCAUGCUCAGGCCACCUCUGCAACCACCAGGACCUGAAGACUGGACCACGUGGCUUCCUAGUCCUUAGCACAACCUUAUCAUAGCCUUCAAUAAUAACCACACUCUAACCCUCUGAGGAAAUCACAGAAAGCACUAAUGCUGUUUACAGCUAAGUACAUCUUACAGAGACUGUACCAGUACAGACACCCAGAAUUAAAGCCAAAGUGCUUAAUCCAACCAACACCACCAAUACAUCUUCAGAAAAAUGUCCUCUAUGAAAGUAAAUUCAGAAACAAGAAUCAACUGUUACACUAGAUAUGCAGAUAUCAAUGUAAAGACACAGAAAACAUUUUAAAAAGCAAGGAAAUAUGACACUUCCAAAAGAACACAAUGAUUCUUUAGCAGUAAAUUCUUAACAAAAAAGGAAUUUUUGAAAAACAAUUCAAAAUAUGAAUUUUUAAGAAGCCCAGUGAGAUAUAAGAGAAUUCUGAAAAAAAAUACAAAUAAAUCAUCAAAACGAUUCAGUAUAUGAAUGAGAAAUUUAACAAAGUGAUAGAUAUUUUUAAAAGAACCAAAUGGAAACUCUUGAACUAAAGAAUUAUUUGAAGGAAAUACAAAAUACACUUGAAAGAUUAAAUAAUAGACUAGAUCAGGCAGAAGAAAGAAUCCCAGAACUUGAAGACAGGUCUUUUGAAAUAAUUUUGACAGACAAAAAUAAAGAAAAUAGCUUACAAAGAAUGAGCAAAGCCUUUCUGACAUUUAGAACAACAUAAAGUAAUUUAAUAUUACAAUUAUUGGGAUCACUGAGAAUGAAGAGACAAAGGAAGGAUUAGAAAACCUAUUUAAGGCUGGACAUGGUGGCUCAUGCCUGUAAUUCCAGCAUUUUGGGAGGUCAAGGCAAGCCGAUCACGAGGUCAAGAGAUCAAGAUCAUUCUGUUCAGCAUGGUGAAACCCCAUCUCUAAAAAUACAAAAAUUACCUGGGUGUGAGAUGCUGCAUGCCUGUAGUCCCUGCUACUCAGGAGGCUGAGGCAGGAGAAUAACUUGAACCCCAGGAGGUGGAGGUUACAGUGAGCUGAGAGUGUACCACUGCACUCCAGCCUGGCAACAAAGCAAGGCUCUGUCUCAGAAAAAAAAAAAGAAAAAAAAGAAAACCUAUUUAAUAAAAUGAUAGAUGAAAGCUUCCCAAGUUUGCAAAAGAUUUAGAAAUUCAGAUAGAGGAGUCUCAGCAAUCUUCAGGAAUAUGCAGUGCAAAGGCCUUCUCCAUGACACAUGAUAGUCACACUGCCUAAAGCCAAAGAUAAAUAGUGUAUCCUAACAAGGGCAAGAGAAAAAUGUCUAAUCACCCAUAAUGAAAACCUAUCAAACUAACAGUGAAUUUUUCUGCAGAAACUUUAUAGGCCAGAAAAGUAUGAGAGGAUAUAUUCAAAGUGCUGACAUUAAAAUCAAAACAAAAAUCCCAGCUAGCAAAGAAUACUAGAUCCAGCAAAAUUAUCCUUCAUAAACAAAGGAGAAAUAAAGUCUUUCUGGACAAGCAAAUGCAGAAGGAAUUUGUUAACGCUAGACUGGCCCUACAAGAAAUGCUCAAGGGAGUCCUAAACCUGGAAGUGAAAGGAUGAUAUGUGCCAUAAUGAAAAAAAUACAAAAGUAUAAAACACACUGAUAAAGUAAUCACACAAAGGAGAAAAAGAAAGGACACUAAUGGUACUACUACAGAAGUCUACCAAACCACAAUAACAAUCAAUAAGAUAAAAAUGAAAGGACCAAAAAAUACAUACUACAACUCCAAAACAAUGAACAAUAUGAUAGGAAAAAAGCCUAACAUAUCAAUAAUAAGCCUGAACAUAAAUGAAUUAAAUUAUCCACUUAAAAGAUAUAGAAUGGCAUAUGGAUUAAAAAACGUGAUCCAAACAUGUGCUGCCUACAGGAAACUCAUCCUACCAGUAGAGGCAUGUGUAGACCGAAAGUAAAGCAAUGGAAAAAGUUACCCCAUGUAAAUACAAACAAAAAGUGAGCAAGAGUAGCUAAACUUAGAUCAGACAAAACAGACUGUAAGUUAAGGACAUUAGAAAAAGACAAAGGAAGUCACUAUAUAAUAAUAAAAGAAUCAAUCUAGUAAGAGGAUCUAAUUCUAAAUAUAUAUGCACCCAAAACUGCAGCAUCCAGAUUCAUAAAGCAAAUAUUUUAUCUAAAAAGAGAACUAAACUAUGAUACAGUAAUAGCGGGGGAUUCUAACACCCCACUGUCAACAUUAGAAAGAUCAUCUAGACAGAAAAUAAACAUAGAAAUAUGGGAUUUAAACUGGACUUUAGACCAAAUGUUCCUAACAAACAUUUACAGAACAUACUAUAUACAUUCUUUUCAUCAGGACAUAAAAUAUUCUCCAGGAUAGGCCAUAUAUUUGGCCACAAAACAAUUCUCAAAAAAUUUUUAAAAAAUCAAAAUGAUAUCAAAAAUUGUCUGAGACCACAAUGGAAUGGAACUAGAAAUCAAUACCAAGAGGAACUUUGGAAACUAUAAAAAUACAUAGAAUUUAAAUAACAUGAUCCUGAAUGACCUGGGUCAACAAAAAAUAUGUAAAUUUAAAAAACUUAAAACAAAUGAAAAUUAAACACAUACAAAAACCCAUUGCAUACAGCAAGAGCAGUACUAAGAGGGAAGUUUAUAGCAAUAAAUGCCUACAUCAAAAAACAAAAAGACUACAAAUUUACAUCUAACAAUGUGCCUUAAGGAGCUAGAAAACAAGAAAAAACCAAACCCAACAUUAGCUAGGAAAAAGAAAUAAUACAAAUCAGAGCAGCUGUAAAUGAAAUAGAAACUAUAAAAAUAUAAAGGAUCAACAAAAUAAAAAGGUGAUUUUUCAGAAAGAUACAACUGAUAAGUUAGUAGCUACUAACUAGUCUAAUCAGGAAAAAGAUAAGAGAAGACCCAAAUAAAGAAUAUGAGAAAUGAAAAGGAGACAUUAAAACAGAUAUCACAGAAAUAUAAAAUAUCACCAGACUAUUAUGAUGAACUAGGAUACUGACAAACUGAAAAACCUAUAGGAAAUGGAUUCUUUCUUGGAGACAUACCACUUACCAAGAUUGAAUCAGGAAGAAAUGAGAAACUUGAACAGAGUAGUGAGAGUCAAUAAUGAGUAGUGAGAUUCAAUCACUAAUAAAAAGUCUCCAAACAAAAAAAAAGUCCAGAUGGGUUCAUAGCCAAAUACUACCAAACAUGCAAAAAAGAUGUAAUGCUAAGCAUCCAGAAACUAUUCCAAAAAUGAAAGAGGAGGAAAUUCUCCCCAACUCAUUCUAUGAGACCAGCAUCACCCUGAAACCAAAACCAGACAGUCACAAUAAAAAAAGAAAAUUUCAGGCAAUAUCCCUGAUGAAUAUAGAUGUAUAAAUCCUUGAAAAAUAUUAGCAAACACAAUCCAACAGCACAUCAAAAAGAUAAUUGCCUGAAUAGCCAAAGUAAUCCUGAGCAAAAAGAACAAGCUAGAUACAUUACAUUACCCAGCUUAAAAAUUUAUUGAAAGUCUAUAGUAACCAAAAUGGCAUGGUACUGGUACAAAAUAGAUAUAUAUACCAAUGAAACAGAAUAAAGGACCCAGAAAUAAAGCCACAUGCUUUACAGUAAAUUGAUCUUCAACAAAGCUGGCAAAAACUUUUAAUAGGGAGGGGACAACCUCUUUAAUAAAUUGUGCUUGGAAAAUUGGAUAGCAACAUCUAGAACAAUAAAACUGGACCUGUCUCUUCCAUCAUAUACAAAAAUCAACUAAAAGUGGAUUAAAGACUUAAACAUAAGACAUGAAACUACAAAAAUUCUAGAAGAAAAUUUAGGGAAAAGUCUUCUGAUUGUUGGUCUUGGUAAAUACUUUUUUCACAGACCUCACAAGCACAGGUUACAAAAACAAAAAUAGACCAAUAGGACAAUUCAACUAAGCAUCUGCAGAGCAAAGGAAAUAAUCAACAGAAUUAAGAGAUAACCUGUUGAAUGGGAGAAAAUAUUUGCAAAGUGCUCAUCUAAUAGUGGACUGUUAUCCAGAAUACACAAGGAGCUCAAUCCAAAAGAAAAAAAUACCACAUAAUACCAUUAAAAUGUGGACAGAGAAUACAAAUAGAUAUUUCUCAAAAGAAGACAUAGAGGUGGUCAAAAGUUAUAUAAGAAAUGCUAAACAUCACUAAUCAUAGAAGAAAGGCAAAUCAAAACCACAAUGAAAUAUUCUACCCCAGUCAGGAUGGCUAUUAUUAAAAAGACAAAAAAUAACUCAUGGUUUGGAUACAAAGGAAAGGUAACUCUUACUCACUGUUUGGUGGGAAUGUAAACUAGUACAGCUACAAUGGAAAAUAGUAUGAAGAUUUCUCAAAAAUCUAAAAAUAGAAUUACCAUUUGAUCCAGCAACCCCACUACUUUGAGUCUACUCAAAGGAAAAGAAAUUAAUAUAUCAAAGGCAUACUUGCACUACUUGCAUGUUUAUUGUAGCACUGUUCGCAAGAGCAAAGAUAUGAAAUCAACCUAAGUGUCCAUGAAUGAAUGAAGAAAAUGUAGUAUAUAUAUACACAAUGGAAUACUAUUUAACCAUAAAAAUAAUGAAAUCAUGUCAUUUGCAGCAACAUGGAUGGAAAUAGUGUCUGUAUUAGUUUUUACACUGCUAUAAAGAACCGCCCAAGACUGGGUAAUUUACAAAAAAAAAAAAAAGAUUUAAUCGACCCACAGUUUUGCAAGGCCAUAUCAUUAUCUUAAGUUAAAUAAGCCAGUUAAAUAAGCCAGGCACAGAAAUAUAUUUCACAUUCUCACUCAUAUGUGGGAACUAAAAACUUUGAUCACAUGGAGGUAGUUACUGGAAAGACUAUAAUAGAGACUGGGAAGGGUGAGUGGGGGGGAGGGAGAGAAUGUAAAGAAGUGAGUUAAAGUUUAUAGACACACAGUAAGCUAGAAGUAAUAAAUUCAAUGUUUGAUAGCAGAGUAGGGUGACAAUUCUUAACAAAAAUGUAUUGUACUCAGGUGCUAGAUACCCUAAAUGCCCUGACUUGAUUAUAUACAUGCAACAAUUUUUAGAUUGUAUAAAUGGGAGAAAGUUCAAAAGCACUUCAUGUAUUUGAAAAAGCUUUUGCCCUAUAUAUUCUCGUAGUAGUUUUACAAUUUCUGGUUUUACAUUUAGGUUUUUAAUCCAUUUUAAGUUGAUUUUUGUAUAUGGUGUGAGAUGAGGGUCUAAUUUCAUUAUUUUGCAUGUAAUUAUUCAGUUUUUCCAACAUACUUUUUUGAAGAGACUUUUUCCCAUUGUAUAUUCUUGGUGACUUGUUGAAGAUCAAUUGAACAUAUAUGUUUAGAUUUAUUUCUGGACUCUCCAUUUUGUUCCACAGGUGUAUGUGUGUGUGUAUAUAUAUAUAUAUCUGUUUUGAUGCUAGAACUGUACUGUUCAGAUUACUACAGCUUUGUAGUAUAUUUUGAAAUCAGGUAGUGUGAUACCUCUAGUUGUGUUCUUCUUGCUCAAGAUUGCUUUGGUUGUUUGGGGUCUUUUGUCAUUCCAUAUUAAUUUUAGAUUUUCUUCUGUUUUUUUAAGAAAUGUGAUUGGAAUUUUGAUAGGAAUUUCAUGGUAAGUAUCUUGUAUCUUUGGGUAAUAUGGACAUUUUAACAGUAUUAAUUCUGAUCCAUGAACACAGGAUACCUUUCCAUUUAUUUGUGUCUUCUUCAACUUCUUUUUAUCAAUGUUUACUAGUUUUCAGUAUAUAGAUAUUUCAUCUCCUUGAUUAAAUUUAUUACUAUGUGUUCCAUUUAUUUUGAUUUUAUUGUGAAAAUGACUGCUUGCUUAAUUUUUUGGUCACUUGGAAUUCCAGUAAUAUACUAAAUAGAAUUGGUAAGAACAGGUAUUUUUUUUUUUUUUUUAAUCUUAGAGAAAAAGCUUUCAGCUUGUCAACAUUGAGUAGGAUAAUCUUUUUAAGAUACAGUGCUGGAACAACUGGACAUCCACAUGUGGAAAGAUGAGUCUAGACACAGACCUUAUGUCCUUUCCAAAAAUUAACUCAAAUUGAAUCACAGACUUAAAUGUAAAAUGCGAAGUUGGCUGGGCGCAGUGGCUCACGCCUGUAAUCCUGGCACUUUGGGAGGCCGAGGCGGGUGGAUCACGAGGUCAGGAGUUUGAGACCAGCUUGGCCAACAUGAUGAAACCCCGUCUCUGCUAAAAAAUACAAAAAAUUAGCUGGGCGUGGUGGCGCGCGGUUGUAGUCCCAGCUACCCAGGUGGCUGAGGCGGGGGAACAGCUUGAACCCAGGAGGCAGAGGUUGCAGUGAGCCAAGAUCAAGCCACUGCACUCCAGCCUGCGGACGGGGCAAGACUCCGUCUCAAAAAAAAAAAAAAAAAAAAGCAAAGUUGUAAAAUGGCUGGAAGAAAACACAGGACAAUAUUUAGAUGAUCUUGGGUUUGGAGAUGUCUUUUAGACUUUUAGAAGCUAAUCUAAAAGAAGCUACACACGGCCGGGUGCUGUGGCUCACACCUGUAAUCGCAGCACUUUGGGAUGCUGAGGCAGGUGGAUCACCUGAGGUCAGGAGUUCGAAACCAGCCUAACCAACAUGGUGAAACCCCAUCUCCACUAAAAACACAAAAAAUUAGCCGGGCGUGGUGACACGCGCCUGUAGUUCCAGCUACUCCGGAGGCUGAGGCAAUAGAAUGGUGUGAACCUGGGAGGCGGAGCUUGCAGUGAGCUGAGAUCACACGACUGCACUCCAGCCUGGUGACAGAGCAAGACUCGGUCUCAAAAAAACCCAAACAAACAAAAAGAAGCUACAUAUUAUAUGAUUCCAACUAUAUGGCAUCCCGGAAAGGCAAAAUUAUGGAGAUGGUAAAGAGAUCAGUGAUUGCUGGGGGCUGGGGAGAGGAAGAAAUGAAUACAUGGAACACAGAGGGUUUCAGGGUCAGAAAAACUACUCCUUGUGUGAUACUAUAACGGUGGAUACAUGUCAUUAUGUAUUUAUCCAAACCAAUAGAAUGUACAACACCAAGAGUGAACUCUAUUGUAAACUAUAGACAUUGGGUUAUAUCGUUGUGUGCUAUGGUCUAAAUGUUUAUCCCCACCACCACUAAAUUUAUAUGUUGAAAUCCUAACCUUCAAGGUGAUAGUGUUAGAAGAUGGGACCUUUUCGAAGUGGAGCCCUCGUGAUUGGGAUUAACACCCUUAUGACAGAGACCACAGAGGGCUGGCUAGUCCUUCUAUACUGCCAUGUGUGUACAGUAAAGAGAUGAUUGUCAAUGAACCAAGAAGCGGGCCCUCAGCAGACACUAAAUCUGCUGACACCUUGAUUUUGACUUCCCAGUUUCCAAAACUAUAAGAAAUAAAUUUCUUUUUUAAUAAGCUACACAGUUUAUGGUAUUUUGUUAUAGCAGCCUGAAGAGAGUAAAAGGAUGUAGAAAUAUAGGUUCAGUAACCAUAACAAAAGUACCACUCUGUGGAAGAUGUUAGUAAUGUGAGAGGCUAUGAAUGAGGUGGCGAGGAGGUGGUAUAUGGGAAAUGUCACUUUGUUCUGUUCAGUUUUGCUGUGAAUCUAAAACUGUUCUAAUAGAUAAAGUUGAAUACAAUAUUAAAACAACAACAUGUUACUGUCUUUGUAACUAUUCAAUGACAUUUAGGCAGGGCAGAGGCUAUUGGACAUUAUAUAUAUCCUUAAAGUCUCCCUUUAUAUAUAUACACACAGAUAUAAAUAUAUAAGUAUAGAUAAAGAUGAAGCCUAAAAACCUAGUUUAAUUAUGUUAAAUUUCAUUAGGGAAUAUGUAAUUUUACCUCUCGCUUUUAUUAUAAUGGUCUUGACUUGAGCUGGCCAUGCACAUUUUCACCAUGCUGAAUUUAAAAUUGGGCUACUUUAUAGAGUUUUGAACAAAAUGCUGAUUCCCCUCAGACUCUUUACAACAUUGCUCUGAAUCAUAUGAAUUGCCCUUAAUCAAUAAAGCAGCACUCAUUUGACUGGCCCUGUAAUGUGUAACCUUCUAUUUCCAAAUAUGGUAAACAUAGAGAAGCCAUCUAUGUGAGAAGGUUUGAGUAGGCUUUACUCCCAUUUACCCUAGUAUUGAUUUCUAUAUAUGGCAGGAAGGAGGAAAAGGGAUGUUUUCAUCCCUUCUCAGUUCCUAUCCCUAAAUUUUUAUCUUACCAAGAACUCAAAUGCUGUUUCCUU